rnacentral:tRNA from 1 species
ACCUGGGUGGCUCAGUCAGUUGAGUGCCUAACUUCGGCUCAGGUCAUAAUCUCAAGGUUUGUGGGUUCGAGCCCCACCUCGGGCU